rnacentral:rRNA from 1 species
UACGUAGGGUGCAAGCGUUGUCCGGAGUUAUUGGGCGUAAAGAGCUCGUAGGCGGUCUGUCGCGUCUGCUGUGAAAACUCGGGACUUAACCCCGGGCCUGCAGUGGGUACGGGCAGACUAGAGUGCGGUAGGGGAGACUGGAAUUUCUGGUGUAGCGGUGAAAUGCGCAGAUAUCAGGAGGAACACCGGUGGCGAAGGCGGGUCUCUGGGCCGUAACUGACGCUGAGGAGCGAAAGCAUGGGGAGCGAACAGG